rnacentral:misc_RNA from 1 species
GAUGAAGAACGCAGCGAAAUGCGAUACGUAAUGUGAAUUGCAGAAUUCAGUGAAUCAUCGAAUCUUUGAACGCAUAUUGCGCUCUCUGGUAUUCCGGAGAGCAUGCUUGUUUGAGUAUCAGUAAACACCUCAACUCCCUUUUCUUUUUUGAAAUGGGAGCUGGACUUGAGUGAUCCCAACACUUUUCUCACUGAAAAGUGGCGGGUCACUUGAAAUGCAGGUGCAGCUGGACUUUUCUCUGAGCUAUAAGCAUAUCUAUUUAGUCUGCCUAAAAAACAGAUUAUUACCUUUGCUGCAGCUAACAUAAAGGAGAUGAGUUCUUGUGCUGACUGAUGCAGGAUUCACAGAGACAGCUUUGCGGCUGACUUUGUAAACUCGAUCUCAAAUCAAGUAAGACUACCCGCUGAACUUAAGCAUAUCAAUAGCGGAGGA